GCCGGGCAUGGUAGCGCAUGCCUGUAAUCUCAGCUACUCAGGAGGCUGAGGCAGGAGAAUUGCUUGAACCCAGGAGGUGGAGGUUGCAGUGACCCAAGAUCGCACCACUGUACUCCAGCCUGGGCAACAUAGCAAGAUUCUGUCUUGA
rnacentral:sRNA from 1 species